rnacentral:rRNA from 1 species
AACGAACGCUGGCGGCAUGCCUAAUACAUGCAAGUCGAACGAGACCUUCGGGUCUAGUGGCGCACGGGUGCGUAACGCGUGGGAAUCUACCCUUGGGUUCGGAAUAACAGUUAGAAAUGACUGCUAAUACCGGAUGAUGACGUAAGUCCAAAUAUUUAUCGCCCAAGGAUGAGCCCGCGUAAGAUUAGCUUGUUGGUGGGGUGAUGGCCUACCAAGGCGACGAUCUUUAGCUGGUCUGAGAGGAUGAUCAGGCACACUGGAACUGAGACACGGCCCAGACUCCUACGGGAGGCAGCAGUGAGGAAUAUGGGAAAAUGGGCGAAAGCCUGAUCCAGCAAUGCCGCAUGAGUGAUGAAGGCCUUAGGGUUGUAAAGCUCUUUUACCAGGGAUGAUAAUGACAGUACCUGGAGAAUAAGCUCCGGCUAACUCCGUGCCAGCCGCCGCAGUAA